rnacentral:lncRNA from 1 species
UGAAGCCUCCAGGUGAAGCCACCUAGGAUUCCUAGGUGGACACUCUAGAAAAAGAGAGAAAUUCUAGAAAUUCUUACAAAAAAGCAAAACAUCCGACCAUCAAUCGAUAGAUUCAAAUCAUCAUAGCCAUUGGAUCUAUUAUGUUUUUUAAAAAAUUACCCACCUAUGCCAUUAUAAAAAUAGCCUAAAGUAACCCCCUAAAUCUAUAUAUAAAUUACUCACCUCUGCCAUUAUAUAAAAUAAACUA